rnacentral:rRNA from 1 species
UUAUAUACAUCAUAGCAGGUACAGAACUGUGUUCCUGUACAACUUGCAUUCUAAAAAAGUGCUCUUUGUUGAUUUCUUAGGGAUGUGAAAAUCUUAUUCGCGUGUUUUUGCACUCGGAAGGGUUAUGAUGACUAUAUAAUAAUCAGACAUAGUACGCUAAGGUAGUAUGUCUAAAGGGAAACAGCCCAGAACAAGAGUUAAUAAGGUUCCAAAAUUAUUGUUAAGUGAAAAUAAGGUAGUUUCAAUCAAAUAUGCCCAGGAGAUAGGCUUAGAUGCGGCCAUUUUUUGAAGACCUCGUAACAGAGCACUGGAUUAGUAAAUUAUUUUUAUAAUUAAUAUUGAUAAAAGCACCGAAAAUUUAACGGAUCUAAACAAUAUACCGAGACCUUGUCCAUAUUUAUAUAUAUAUCUAAGUUGUAUAUUGUAUUUAUGGGGUAGCGGAACAUUGGGCAAAUAUAAGAAUUUUUCUUUUUAAGACUUAAGAUAAUAUAACCCAAGCGAUAAUGCUGACAUGAGUAACGAUAAAGGGAAUAAACUAUUCCCUCGCCUAAAACUUAUGGUAUUUACUUAAAGUAACGGCCUCUAAGUUUAUGAGCCUAAAGGACUAAACGAUGAGAAAAUCUACUAUCUGCGAAUAAAUAACCUUUGUGAUGAGACUUAUGCGACUAAAGACGAAGUAGACGGUAAGCUUUUUUGCAAAAGUGACAAGGUUCUGGAAAAUUUAAGUGGUGCAUCAUGGAUAAUAGGGAGGACGCAAUCUCCUGCCUACCAUGGUGUAAAAAGACCGUACCUAGAAACUACCCCCAGUAAGUUAGUAGAGAUACGAAGCGUUUGAGUGACAUCAUA